rnacentral:rRNA from 1 species
UACGUAGGGUCCGAGCGUUGUUCGGAAUUACUGGGCGUAAAGCGCGUGUAGGCGGCCUAGUGUGUCGGGCGUGAAAUCCCACGGCUCAACCGUGGAAGUGCACUCGAAACUGCAAGGCUGGAGUACUGGAGAGGAUGGUAGAAUGCUCGGUGUAGAGGUGAAAUUCGUAGAUAUCGAGCGGAAUACCGGUGGCGAAGGCGGCCAUCUGGACAGUCACUGACGCUGAGACGCGAAAGCGUGGGGAGCAAACAGG